rnacentral:rRNA from 1 species
UACGUAGGGACCGAGCGUUGUCCGGAAUCAUUGGGCGUAAAGAGCGUGUAGGCGGCCAUGCAGGUCAGCUGUGAAAACUCGAGGCUCAACCUCGAGACGUCGGUUGAAACCGUAUGGCUAGAGUCCGGAAGAGGAGAGUGGAAUUCCCGGUGUAGCGGUGAAAUGCGCAGAUAUCAGGAGGAACACCGGUGGCGAAGGCG